ACCAGAGCUGAAGCCGAAUGCUCUGGUGGCUGCCUGCACAAACAGCCUAAUUCAAUAAGGUGAUGUCUGUGUCAGCCAAUGCUUAUCUACUGAAUUCACACAAGGUGUCUGGGAGUUUGAACAGUGCUGGGCCGAGCAAGGUGGAAAGAUGACACCUGCCUUUCCAAUCCCUUAAGACAACAGAGGAGUCAAUAGCCGAAAGAGUCUGAAGCAAGAGUGCCUAUAGGCUCUGGUAAAGGAUUUGCAUCUUGAAUGGGUAACCUGCAGUUCUCCUCAAUGAAGACAUCAGAUCAAAGUUCAACCAGUCAAAGCCCUGCUAAAACGUUAAGGAGGCCGGCACGUACACAAAGGCACGGGAUGAACGGCAACUGCUGCCUCGAGAGAGGGAACUGCGGAUCCAUCCGUUGCCGAAAAUUCCACAGUUUACACCAUUGAUUUCCACCUGUUUCUUACAGCAUCUU